CCGGUCUUCCUGGGUUCCCGUAGUUACGGCGAGUGAAGCGGGAAGAGCUCAAAUUUGAAAGCUGGCACCUUCGGUGUCCGCGUUGUAAUCUCGAGAAGUGUUUUCCGUGCUGGACCAUGUACAAGUUCCUUGGAAUAGGACGUCAUAGAGGGUGAAAAUCCCGUACUUGACAUGGACGCCCAGUGCUUUGUGAUACACUCUCCACGAGUCGAGUUGUUUGGGAAUGCAGCUCAAAAUGGGUGGUAAAUUCCAUCUAAAGCUAAAUAUUGGGGAGAGACCGAUAGCGAACAAGUACCGUGAGGGAAAGAUGAAAAGCACUUUGGAAAGAGAGUUAAACAGUACGUGAAAUUGUCGAAAGGGAAGCGCUUGAAGUUAGACAUGCUUGCCGGGAUUCAGCCUUGCUUUUGCUUGGUGCAUUUCCCGGUGUGCAGGCCAGCAUCAGUUUUGUUUGCCGGAUAAGGGUGAGAGGAAUGUGGCCCCUCGGGGUGUUAUAGCCUCUCACUGGAUACGGCGGAUGGGACUGAGGACCGCAGUGUGCCUUUAUGGCGGGCCUUCGGGCACCUUCACACUUAGGAUGCUGGCGUAAUGGCUUUAAGCGACCCGUCUUGAAACACGGACA
rnacentral:rRNA from 1 species